UACAGAGGUGCCCAAGCGUUGUUCGGAUUCACUGGGCGUAAAGGGUGCGUAGGUGGCGAGGUAAGUCGGAUGUGAAAGCUCGGAGCUCAACUCCGGAAAUGGCAUUGGAAACUACCUUGCUCGAGGGUUGGAGGGGGGACUGGGAAUUCUCGGUGUACAGUGAAAUGCGGUAGAUAAUCGAGAGGAACACCAGUGGCGAAGGCGAGUCCCUGGACAACUCCUGACACUGAGGCGCGAAGCGUGGGGAGCAAACAGG
rnacentral:rRNA from 1 species